GCUCGAAGUUUAGCCCAUCUAAUUCUAAUGAAACCGACCUAUUAAAUAAAUAAAACAAAACAUUUUUUUUGGCCCAGUAAAGGCGAUUAAAAAGCAUUUAGGAGCUUUAAAACUAGUACCGCGAGGGAAAAUUGAAAUAAAAAUGAAAUAAAUUUUAAGCGCCACAAAGUAGAGCUUUACCCUCGUACCUUUUGCAUCAUGAUCUAACUAGUACACCCAAGCAAAAUGAAUUUUAAGUUUGACCCCCCGAAACUAGAUGAGCUACUUCAAAACAGCCUCUAUGGGCCAACCCAUCCCUGUUGCAAAAGAGUGGGAAGAUUUUUAAGUAGAAGUGAUAAACCUAUCGAAUCUAGAGAUAGCUGGUUAUUUAGGAAAAGAAUCUUAGUUCUACUUUAAAUCUUACUGUAACCUCAAUAUACUAGUAGAUUUAAAAUUUAUUCAAAUAAGGUACAGCCUAUUUGAAAAAGGAUACAACCUAUAAGAUUGGGUAAUAUAAUAAUUAGCGUAACCAAGUAGGCCUAAAAGCAGCCACCUUUCAAAAAGCGUCAUAGCCUUUCUACAUCUAAUUAUUAAUCCUAAUUUAAACUCAAAACCCCUCAUCAAUACUAAAUGACUCCAUAUUAUAUGGAAAACCUUAUGUUAGAACUAGUAACAAGAAUUGUUUCUCCUAAAAACGUAAAUGUAAACCGGAACGAACCACUCACCGGUAUCUACCGCUAAUGAACCUACAGUAAUAACUAUUACAAGAAAAUCUUACUCUUUCAAGCGUUAACCUUACACUAGAACUUUUCUGGAAAGAUUAAAAAAAGAGAAAGGAACUCGGCAAACAUUAACUCCGCCUGUUUACCAAAAACAUCGCCUUCUGAUAUUUAUAGAAGGUCUAGCCUGCCCAGUGAUAAAUUUAAACGGCCGCGGUAUCUUAACCGUGCAAAGGUAGCACAAUCACUUGUCCUCUAAAUAAGGACUAGUAUGAACGGCAUCACGAGAAUUAUACUGUCUCCCUCCUUUAAUCAGUGAAACUAAUCUCCUCGUGAAGAAGCGAGGAUAAACAUAUAAGACGAGAAGACCCCAUGGAGCUUCAAACUAUAUUUCACUUGCACUCUAUAAUAUCAUCUAACACCAGCAAGUCUGCCUACUAGUUUUUGGUUGGGGUGACCUCGGAGCAAAACAUAACCUCCACGAUGAAAGAAAUGAUUUUUCUAAUCAAAGAGCUACAACUCGCAGAAUCAAAACAUUGACUUAAAUUGACCCAAUAUUUUUGAACAACGAACCAAGUUACCCUGGGGAUAACAGCGCAAUCCAUUUCAAGAGCCCCUAUCGACAAAUGGGUUUACGACCUCGAUGUUGGAUCAGGGUAUCCCAGUGGUGCAACCGCUACUAAAGGUUCGUUUGUUCAACGAUUAAAACCCU
rnacentral:rRNA from 1 species